GAUGAACGCUAGCGGCAGGCCUAAUACAUGCAAGGCGAAGGGGCAGCAAUGUCACUGUCGUACGGGUGCGUAACGCGUAUGCAACCUACCUAGUCACUGGGGGAUAGCCCGGGGAAACCCGGAUUAAUACCGCAUAACACAGGGGCUCCUCAUGGAGAUAUUUGUUAAAGAUUUAUCGGUGGUAGAUGGGCAUGCGUUCG
rnacentral:rRNA from 1 species